UGAUACUUGUUUUAUAAUUUAGUUGUAAUUUUUGUUGUAGUUGUGCAUGGAGGUAAAAAGUGUUUACCUACACCUCCAUCUUGGCUGGAAGUCUCUUAAUAUGCCCAUGGCCAACUGGCUGGUCCAGGGCCUGUUAGUCUUCUUUUCAGUUAUAAAAAGUUAUUCAUGAGAGGUUUUGGAAGUCAUGGAGUAGAAAACCCUGUGGUCUUUUAAAUGUGGGAAAAAUUGUCUAUUUGUUAUAAUAAUUCUUACAAAACAAUGAAAGAAAAGACUGUAGUUUUCCAUAGGAUAAUGAUGGCCACCUAAUCCAGUUCUCUCCACAAGAUCGAUAAGAAGAGCAAAGAACACCACUUUCCUGUAGGGUAGACUGAAAACUUCAAUUUAUAUGCAGAUAGUGAAGUAACUAAAGUCUGCAGAGCCAGCUCUGGAGCGCAUGCUAAGGUGAAAAGCUAAAGACUGCAUGGAAAAGACGAGAGGAUAGUGGGGGCCAAGGAUAGGGUUGAUUAGUAGUGGUGAAAUACAGAUGAAAUCUCCAGAAAGAGAGUCUAACCCUGAUUGGGAAAUACUGAAAACAGAUGUGGACCCUAUGCAUAGAGUGUUGUCUAUUAAAGAAUC